rnacentral:rRNA from 1 species
CCUACGGGUGACAGCAGUGAGGAAUAUUGGUCAAUGGGCGGAAGCCUGAACCAGCCAAGUAGCGUGCGGGAUGAAGGCCCUACGGGUCGUAAACCGCUUUUGCACGGGGAUAACACCCUCCACUUGUGGAGGUCUGCAGGUACCGUUCGAAUAAGGGCCGGCUAAUUCCGUGCCAGCAGCCGCGGUAAUACGGAAGGCCCGAGCGUUAUCCGGAUUAAUUGGGCUUAAAGGGAGCGUAGGCGGGCGUUCAAGUCAGCUGUAAAAUCGUGCCGUUCAACCGCGCCCCGCAGUUGAAACUGGAAGCGUUGAGUUCACAACAGGCAGGCGGAAUUCGUAUUGUAGCGGUCACAUGCAUAUCUAUCACGAGGCACCCCGAUUGCGAAGGCAGCCUGCCGGGGUGCGACUGACGCUGAGGCUCGAAGGUGCGGGUAUCAAACAGGAUUAGAUACCCCGGUAGUC